rnacentral:tRNA from 1 species
GGGCCGUUAGCUCAGUUGGUCAGAGCAGAGGACUCAUAGCGAAAGUUGUGCACCACCCAGGGAAACCGGGUGCGUGAAUGGCGUCAAAUUCGGUGAAACCUGACGGCCGCAAGGCGCAAGGCAAUGCCGAGCCAAGCCCGGAACAUCGGGAAGGUGUAGAGACUAGACGGCGCCCGCCUUCAGGCCAUUGGCCUAUGGCGAAGGCAUAGUCCAGGGAGUCCAGAAAUGGACACAAACCGGAAUCCUUUGGUCGUUGGUUCAAGUCCAACACGGCCUACCA